AAAAGACACACGCAGUUCCAGUGAAGAGAGGCUAAGGUCCAUUGGAGAGGCAAGGUCAAGUGCAGACAGUGUGGUAUCAAGAAGAAAGACUCAGGGGUCAAGUGGUGAGAAGCUGAGAUUGAGUGAAGGAGAAAGUCUGGUGUCCCCAGAAGAGAGAUGGAUAUUGAAUGGAAAGAAGCUGAGGCUGAGUGCAGAGAAGCUGAGGUUGAGUGAAGGAGAAAAAGAAAACCCGGUGUCCCCAGGAGAUAGACGGGGGUCAAGUGGAGAGAAGCUGAGGUUGAGUGGAGAGAGGUUGAGGCUGAGUGGAGAGAGGUUGAGGCUGAGUGGAGAGAGGUUGAGGUUGAGUGGAGAGACAUUGGAGGACUCUCAAGCUGAGAGCAUAUAUGAAGAGCCAGGUGAAAGAGCGACCAAAAUCACUAAAGAAGACGUGGAGAUUCCUUCUGGAAGUGCGAAGAGCGUUGAAGACCUCAAGUGGACUGUGGAAGGGGCGCAAGCUGAGGAGGAUGCCUCCGCGGAAGUGAAAGAGACUUAGUCAUGACUUGGUUUCUGUGGAGGAGAAAAGACGGAGAUGUUGAAAACGCUAGUGAGUGAGAACGAAGCUAACAAAGGAAGAGAGACACGCGGAGAGGGAAGCAGGAAAAGGCACAGAGCAGCGGCCAGAACCAAGCCAGACUUUAUUGAUGCGGUCGAAAGGAGAGGGAAUAAAUGAAAAGGAGUUUCUGCUCAGGAAAGGUGGAGGCCAGGAGCCCUGACGCAGCAUGAUGGUGCUGAGGAGAACACUUGGAGGGACAAGACACUGUGCUACGGGGAGGGAAAAUCAGACAUUGGUUUCUUGGGGGAACAACUAAGAAGCUUGUAGGAUAAUGUUUGGCAAACAGGUUUGGAUGGGGUAGAAAGAUUUCACCCGAGACUUGGUUUGGAGUGUGAGGUGUGGGAGGAUGAGCAGUGAGAGAAGUGGAGAAUCACCCCUGGGUGAAAGGCAGCAGUGGACGGUUGUGGAAGAAGACCAGGCUGAAGUGAGCAAAACCCCAGAAGAAGGACCCAGAAGGACAGACUCCAGGGACACAGCAAGAGAAGAUAAGAAAACUAGGCAGUGAAGAAUAGUCAGAAGCCAUAUCCCACAGUGGUUUGCUGAGACAUGGUGCCUUCUGCCUGCGAUGUGGUCUGGGUCGAUGCAGUCUGGGUCGGCCGUCAGGCGGGAGCUGGGACUCUGCCAGACUGCUGUGGGAGCAGCUCCGUUCCCUGUCUCUGCUGUUUCUGAUUCACUGGCCGGAAGCCACCUGCACACGCUGUUGGUCCCUCUAUCUCUGCUUUCCCAAGAUCAUCCUGCCCAGCCUCUUGUGGCACUCUGAGAGCUGAGGGAUUGGUACCGGCCCCUGGUGGCCCCCAACCUGGCUGCUUGGCAGCUGUGGGGAACCAUACUGCCCACAGUUCACCAAGUGGGAGCCAAAGCAGCAGAGGUACUCUGCUCAGCCGAGAUGCCAUGGUCAGGCCACGGCGGCCAUGGAGGCAGGUGAACAUCCAGGCGUGGUAACCGUGUCUGCCGCCUCGGAAGUGCAGAUUUUCAAUGGUCUAGGUGGCUGGAGCUAUAAGCAAUAUCGUCGCCUACUAAAAUGAACUAAAACACACCCACUCUGGCAGAC